AGGACGAACGCUGGCGGCGUGCUUAACACAUGCAAGUCGAGCGGUAAGGCCUUUCGGGGUACACGAGCGGCGAACGGGUGAGUAACACGUGGGUGAUCUGCCCUGCACUCUGGGAUAAGCCUGGGAAACUGGGUCUAAUACCGGAUAUGACCUGCUCUCGCAUGGGGGUGGGUGGAAAGAUUUAUCGGUGCAGGAUGGGCCCGCGGCCUAUCAGCUUGUUGGUGGGGUAAUGGCCUACCAAGGCGACGACGGGUAGCCGACCUGAGAGGGUGACCGGCCACACUGGGACUGAGACACGGCCCAGACUCCUACGGGAGGCAGCAGUGGGAAUCUUGCGCAAUGGGCGAAAGCCUGACGCAGCCAUGCCGCGUGAAUGAUGAAGGUCUUAGGAUUUGUAAAAUUCUUUACACCGAGGAACGAUAAUGACGUACUCGGAGAAGAACGCCCGGCUAACCUUCGUACCACGCAGCCGC
rnacentral:rRNA from 1 species